GUAGGGAAUAUUGCGCAAUGGGGGAAACCCUGACGCAGCGACGCCGCGUGAGUGAUGAAGGCCUUCGGGUCGUAAAGCUCUGUUGCAGGGGAAUAAAAAAAUGAAGGUACCCUGUGAGGAAGGAUCGGCUAACUUCGUGCCAGCAGCCGCGGUAAGACGAGGGAUCCUAGCGUUGCUCGGCAUCAUUGGGCGUAAAGAGGGCGUAGGUGGCUUGGUAAGUCAGGUGUGAAAGCCCAGGGCUCAACCCUGGAAGUGCAUUUGAUACUGCUGAGCUUGAGUGUCGGAGAGGUUACCGGAAUACCUGGUGUAGUGGUGAAAUACGUAGAUAUCAGGUGGAACACCGGAGGCGAAGGCGGGUAACUGGACGAACACUGACACUGAGGCCCGAAAGCGUGGGGAUCAAACAGGAUUAGAUACCCUGGUAGUCC
rnacentral:rRNA from 1 species